AUUAAGGAUUUAUUAACUUAGGUAACUCUGGUGUAUCUAAAUCAUACCUUUCAACUAUGUCUGCUGUAAGCAAAAAGAUCAACAUGAUUAAAGUAAAUAAGGUUGCCAAUGCCUAUGUGCAUUUGGCAGCCGAAAAACUUGACGGCGCAACGUGGAUGGAAAAAUGAUGUGGUAUACAAGGUGUAUAUGACACUGUAGUCAACCGAAUAAAUGCCACCCCAACUGUCUAUCAUCCAAAUGCCGAUCUGGACAUAUAUUUAAAACGUUUGAAUGAAAUCUUUAUGGAGUUCGAAACAAAGUAUAAGAAAAAUCCUGUGUAUGGCUAUACUAUAAUAUCUGCAUGCGGUGUGAGUAAUUUGAUUCAGAAUGAAUACUUUCAAGAAUGAAGACUACUAUAAAUUUGUGAUUUUAGCCGACAAUUUGACUUAGAUUAUAUAGCAAAAAAUUAUUUAAACGAAAUUCACAAUAAAAGUAACGACCAGAAUUUGAAAAACAUAAUCGGAAAAAUAUGCAUUAACAUUCAUACAAAUAUGUGCUACAUGAAUGGCGCGAUGGGA